UACGUAGGGUGCGAGCGUUAAUCGGAAUUACUGGGCGUAAAGCGUGCGUAGGCGGUUCGCUGUGUCCGAUGUGAAAGCCCCGGGCUUAACCUGGGAAUGGCAUUGGAAACUGGCGGGCUUGAGUGCGGCAGAGGGGGGUGGAAUUCCGCGUGUAGCAGUGAAAUGCGUAGAGAUGUGGAGGAACACCGAUGGCGAAGGCAGCCUCCUGGGCCAGCACUGACGCUCAUGCACGAAAGCGUGGGGAGCAAACAGG
rnacentral:rRNA from 1 species